AGAGUUUGAUCCUGGCUCAGAUUGAACGCUGGCGGCAUGCCUAACACAUGCAAGUCGAACGGCAGCACAGCAGUAGCAAUACUGUGGGUGGCGAGUGGCGGACGGGUGAGGAAUACGUCGGAAUCUGCCCAGUCGUGGGGGAUAACUAGCCGAAAGGUUAGCUAAUACCGCAUACGACCGAGAGGUGAAAGCGGGGGACCGCAAGGCCUCGCGCGAUUGGAUGAGCCGACGUCGGAUUAGCUAGUUGGCGGGGUAAAGGCCCACCAAGGCGACGAUCCGUAGCUGGUCUGAGAGGAUGAUCAGCCACACUGGAACUGAGACACGGUCCAGACUCCUACGGGAGGCAGCAGUGGGGAAUAUUGGACAAUGGGCGCAAGCCUGAUCCAGCAAUGCCGCGUGUGUGAAGAAGGCCUUCGGGUUGUAAAGCACUUUUAUCAGGAACGAAAAGCGUUGGAUUAAUACUCUGACGUGCUGACGGUACCUGAGGAAUAAGCACCGGCUAACUUCGUGCCAGCAGCCGCGGUAAUACGAAGGGUGCAAGCGUUAAUCGGAAUUACUGGGCGUAAAGCGUGCGUAGAUGGUUCGCUAAGUCGGAUGUGAAAGCCCCGGGCUCAACCUGGGAACUGCAUCCGAUACUGGCGGACUAGAGUGUGAUAGAGGAUGGCGGAAUUCCCGGUGUAGCGGUGAAAUGCGUAGAGAUCGGGAGGAACAUCCGUGGCGAAGGCGGCCAUCUGGAUCAACACUGACGUUGAGGCACGAAAGCGUGGGGAGCAAACAGGAUUAGAUACCCCGGUAGU
rnacentral:rRNA from 1 species